rnacentral:rRNA from 1 species
AUUGAACGCUGGCGGCAGGCUUAACACAUGCAAGUCGAGCGGAGAGAGGUAGCUUGCUACUGAUCUUAGCGGCGGACGGGUGAGUAAUGCUUAGGAAUCUGCCUAUUAGUGGGGGACAACAUUUCGAAAGGAAUGCUAAUACCGCAUACGUCCUACGGGAGAAAGCAGGGGAUCUUCGGACCUUGCGCUAAUAGAUGAGCCUAAGUCGGAUUGGCUAGUUGGUGGGGUAAAGGCCUACCAAGGCGACGAUCUGUGGCGGGUCUGAGAGGAUGAUCCGCCACACUGGGACUGAGACACGGCCCAGACUCCUACGGGAGGCAGCAGUGGGGAAUAUUGGACAAUGGGGGGAACCCUGAUCCAGCCAUGCCGCGUGUGUGAAGAAGGCCUUUUGGUUGUAAAGCACUUUAAGCGAGGAGGAGGCUACUGAGACUAAUACUCUUGGAUAGUGGACGUUACUCGCAGAAUAAGCACCGGCUAACUCUGUGCCAGCAGCCGCGGUAACAC